rnacentral:tRNA from 1 species
GUCUCGGUAGUCUAUAGGCUUAGGACGCUUGCACGGAAAGCAAGAGAUCUGAGUUCGACUCCCGGCCGAGACA